GAGUAACGCGUAUCCAACCUGCCCACCACUUGGGGAUAACCUUGCGAAAGUAAGACUAAUACCCAAUGACGUCUCUAGAAGGCAUCUGAAAGAGAUUAAAGAUUUAUCGGUGAUGGAUGGGGAUGCGUCUGAUUAGCUUGUUGGCGGGGUAACGGCCCACCAAGGCAACGAUCAGUAGGGGUUCUGAGAGGAAGGUCCCCCACAUUGGAACUGAGACACGGUCCAAACUCCUACGGGAGGCAGCAGUGAGGAAUAUUGGUCAAUGGACGAGAGUCUGAACCAGCCAAGUAGCGUGCAGGAAGACGGCCCUAUGGGUUGUAAACUGCUUUUAUAAGGGAAUAAAGUGAGUCUCGUGAGACUUUUUGCAUGUACCUUAUGAAUAAGGACCGGCUAAUUCCGUGCCAGCAGCCGCGGUAAUACGGAAGGUCCGGGCGUUAUCCGGAUUUAUUGGGUUUAAAGGGAGCGUAGGCCGGAGAUUAAGCGUGUUGUGAAAUGUAGACGCUCAACGUCUGCACUGCAGCGCGAACUGGUUUCCUUGAGUACGCACAAAGUGGGCGGAAUUCGUGGUGUAGCGGUGAAAUGCUUAGAUAUCACGAAGAACUCCGAUUGCGAAGGCAGCUCACUGGAGCGCAACUGACGCUGAGGCUCGAAAGUGCGGGUAUCGAACAGGAUUAGAUACCCUGGUAGUCCGCACGGUAAACGAUGGAUGCCCGCUGUUGGUCUGAAUAGGUCAGCGGCCAAG
rnacentral:rRNA from 1 species